rnacentral:tRNA from 1 species
GGCUCCCUAGUGUAGUGGUUAGCACAUCUGCUUUACACGCAGAAAGUACUGGGUUUGUGCCCCAGGUGGAACCA